GGUUAAUCGACUGAGCCACCCAGGCAUCCCUUUGUGUAUCAUUCUAACUCCUUGUACGGUGUGUUAAAAUUUGCUAAAUUAGUUAAUAUCAUUUUUAUGUACAAAUUCUAACUUCUGACUUCUCUUGGUAAGUCUGAAGAUCUGAUGGUACUAGGCCCUCGUUUUCAGAGGGUAAUAAUUGCUAAAUCUGAGUAAGGAAGGACUGCCACUAUAGAUGGACCUUUCUAGUUGAUCACGCUCCCCAUCAUUUCCCUGUUGUCUCAGGAUAGAUUUUCUAGUUGUGUUAAGGGGUGAGUGAAAAAAUUCUUGGUUCCAUGUCCUGAAUCUGGUUGGCUUAUUGAAGUCACCUGUCUUUCCCCUGUGUGUUUCUGAGUUUGAAGUUCUGGCUUAUUUAAGAGGUUUGCAAUGGGUGUCUUACUUGUGCGUUUAAUAUAAUCCUUUGCCAAACCCUCUCUUUCCAACCUUCAUUCUCCCCUAUUCCUCCUACUCCCCUGUAUAUGUGUCAAGAUUCUUGGUGACAGCAGUAGAAAAGCCAACCCUAAGUAAGUUAAAAAAAAUAAACAACAACAAAAAACAAAACAUGGGUCCCAUGACCAGUCACCGUGGGCAGACAGGUGAGGUAGAGUAUUGGCCCAGCGGGUCCCAAGCCCACCCUUCUGACGUGUGUGGAGGGAACUAGAUUAGCCUCCCUAACUAGGGGCUGGCCACAUGGUUUAUAGAAGCCGUUCCCCAAAGAUAGUACUGGUGACGAGACCUCCAUCCAAAAAGCACAUGUUUAGUUAAGCACACAGAUCUGAACAGUUGUGGAGAACACGCUGGCAGCCUGCUGGUUAAGUUCAUGGUUCCUAAUGUCACAGCGCUGAGUUGAGCCUGUCAUGUAAAGCACACACAUCUGAGUGACUCGGUAACCAAAACCUGCUGAAAGGCAGCCCACCUGAUUCGGACACUCGACAUCCUCGCUCUCAGUCAGUGGCUUUGGGUCCGUAGAUGUCGCUCUCUGCCAAGUGUUGCUUCAUUGCUGCUUGGGGCUUAAAUUACCUGAAGACCCCCCAGAAACCCAGUCCAAUCCCCCUGAAAAAUUUGGGAAAGUAACACAUAUAAAAGAAGACUCAAGUGCUACAAACUCCUCAUUCAGGGCUUCUGGGCCAUUCAUGUAAAACUGACAGUGUGGAUAAGGGAGUGGUAAGCAGGAGAGCAGGUCUGCAGAAUAUCCCACUGGGAAGGGUACCCUUGUUAGGGAGCAAAGGCCACUGAUUAUGUAGAUAGAAAUCGAGACACGGUGUCUGUCCUUGAAGCCUCACACACAAUACUUGAGUCACCAAGCUCCCUCCAAGGUCUGCCUUGUGAUUUUUUUCUUCCCUCUCCUACCCUCUCAUCUAUCUGCACUUCCGUGCUGGCUUCUUACUGAACACAAGCCAGAAUCAGAACCCUUUAGAAAGAUUGGCUUUAAGAAAUGUGCGUUUCUAGCCUCAGCUGUGGAUCUCCAAAGAGUGGGCUUGAGUUCUCACACACACACAUAUACACAGAUGCACACAUGUCAACGUACACACACAUGCACACACACACUUUCCUAUAUGCUUUAAAUGAUCGUGGUUAUAAAAGUUUGCAAGGUGUAGUAUGGAGGGAGUACCACCUGCACUACAUCUGGCUGUUGCACAAG